UUUUAUGGAGAGUUUGAUCCUGGCUCAGAGUGAACGCUGGCGGCGUGCCUAAUACAUGCAAGUCGAACGAUGAAGCUUCUAGCUUGCUAGAAGUGGAUUAGUGGCGCACGGGUGAGUAACGCAUAGGUCAUGUGCCUCUUAGUUUGGGAUAGCCAUUGGAAACGAUGAUUAAUACCAGAUACUCCCUACGGGGGAAAGAUUUAUCGCUAAGAGAUCAGCCUAUGUCCUAUCAGCUUGUUGGUAAGGUAAUGGCUUACCAAGGCUAUGACGGGUAUCCGGCCUGAGAGGGUGAACGGACACACUGGAACUGAGACACGGUCCAGACUCCUACGGGAGGCAGCAGUAGGGAAUAUUGCUCAAUGGGGGAAACCCUGAAGCAGCAACGCCGCGUGGAGGAUGAAGGUUUUAGGAUUGUAAACUCCUUUUGUUAGAGAAGAUAAUGACGGUAUCUAACGAAUAAGCACCGGCUAACUCCGUGCCAGCAGCCGCGGUAAUACGGAGGGUGCAAGCGUUACUCGGAAUCACUGGGCGUAAAGAGCGCGUAGGCGGGAUAGUCAGUCAGGUGUGAAAUCCUAUGGCUUAACCAUAGAACUGCAUUUGAAACUACUAUUCUAGAGUGUGGGAGAGGUAGGUGGAAUUCUUGGUGUAGGGGUAAAAUCCGUAGAGAUCAAGAGGAAUACUCAUUGCGAAGGCGACCUGCUGGAACAUUACUGACGCUGAUUGCGCGAAAGCGUGGGGAGCAAACAGGAUUAGAUACCCUGGUAGUCCACGCCCUAAACGAUGGAUGCUAGUUGUUGGAGGGCUUAGUCUCUCCAGUAAUGCAGCUAACGCAUUAAGCAUCCCGCCUGGGGAGUACGGUCGCAAGAUUAAAACUCAAAGGAAUAGACGGGGACCCGCACAAGCGGUGGAGCAUGUGGUUUAAUUCGAAGAUACACGAAGAACCUUACCUAGGCUUGACAUUGAGAGAAUCCGCUAGAAAUAGUGGAGUGUCUGGCUUGCUAGACCUUGAAAACAGGUGCUGCACGGCUGUCGUCAGCUCGUGUCGUGAGAUGUUGGGUUAAGUCCCGCAACGAGCGCAACCCCCUUUCUUAGUUGCUAACAGGUCAUGCUGAGAACUCUAAGGAUACUGCCUCCGUAAGGAGGAGGAAGGUGGGGACGACGUCAAGUCAUCAUGGCCCUUACGCCUAGGGCUACACACGUGCUACAAUGGGGUGCACAAAGAGAAGCAAUACUGCGAAGUGGAGCCAAUCUUCAAAACGCCUCUCAGUUCGGAUUGUAGGCUGCAACUCGCCUGCAUGAAGCUGGAAUCGCUAGUAAUCGCAAAUCAGCCAUGUUGCGGUGAAUACGUUCCCGGGUCUUGUACUCACCGCCCGUCACACCAUGGGAGUUGUGUUUGCCUUAAGUCAGGAUGCUAAAUUGGCUACUGCCCACGGCACACACAGCGACUGGGGUGAAGUCGUAACAAGGUAACCGUAGGUGAACCUGCGGUUGGAUCACCUCCUUUCUA
rnacentral:rRNA from 1 species